rnacentral:lncRNA from 1 species
CAAUCACCUACUUCCCCAGUAGCCAUCAACUUUGGCACUUCUGGGGAACCUGACCUAAGGCAAUGGACAACUUCACCUCGAAGCUGUUCUUCUCACGGUUGAACAUGUGGGAAUGGGCAUCGAGAGAGAACAUGCUGAGACAAGAAAGGACCUAGAAAUCACCUCUGCUGCAGACUCCAGCAGCCCAAACCCAGUAACAAAACCUUGUGCCAGGCCAAACUACAACUCUCGUUUCUAGGAAAUACCAGCUAAACGAGGGCGUGCCAUGCCAUAGCCAAGAAACAGGAAACAUACAGACAAGAGUACUCUCCGCCAUCACCAAUCCAGGUAGGAAGUGGGUGUCAGUGACUGUGCAUCUGGAACCUUCGAAGUUC